AACUUCCCCCCAGCGCCUCUCAUUGGGAAUUCCUGGCAUCCGUCAGGCGGGUCCCUGUGCAUAUAGGUGGACUGGGCGGCCCCCUCCGGGCGUGCACGCCACCGCCCACUCCCUGGGUUCCCACUCCCCCGCAGCUCAUGUGACACCACCUUAAGCUGAACCGGAGUGGAGCCGGGGGACGCCUCCCGGAGCUCGGGGACCAAACAGCACUGAGCUUAGGAGUCGCGGGAGUCGCCGAGGAUUGGCCCGGUUCCCUGCCGGCGGGAAGGCCUGGAACUUGGGCGCACCGGUGUUCCUGCGGUCCCACGAAAGCUCCGAACCCCAGAUCUGCGAGGGGAAACCCGAGGCGUAUUUCGUUUUCUUUUUCCCGGGGAACCUGGGUCGGGACAAGUCAGUACCCUGGAAAGGGGUGGCGAGGGCCUACAGUAAAAAGGAAUUUCCUGAUUCCACCGCCGCUGCUCCGGUCCCGCCCCUUGGGACCAGGCUGAUCCCUGCCCUGCCGGAGCCAGGUAUCUUCACUGCGUGCUGGUUGGAACUACCAUGACAAAAGCCACCAUGAACAUUUCGGGGUGUGUUUUUGAUGAACGCAUGCAUUCAUUUCUCUUGAAUGUAUACCUCCAAGUGUAACUGCCCGGUCACAGGGUUGGCAUAUGUGUCUCUUUAGGCUGGAGAUUGAACCUAGGCCUUCAUGAAUGUUAGGCAAGCACUCUUCCCCUGAUCUACAGCCCUGGCCGGUGGACAGAUAUAUGAAGACACAAAGACAGAAUGCCAGCCCAGGGCCUGGUAGACAGCAGGCUUCUACAACAGUCAUUCACUCUCCUUGCCCUACUAGGAGGUGUUAGCCCUGCAGAGCCCUGUACAGAAACACAGACAAGUAGGUUCUAUAAGAUACUGGAAACUGCCAGGCGAUGGUGACCCACACCUUUAAUCCCAGCAGAGACAGGCGGAUCUCUGAGUUCAAGGCCAGCCUAGUCUCGGCAGCAAGUUCCAGGACAACCAGGGCUACAGAGAGAAACUAUCUGAGACCUCCCUCCUCAAAAAAAAAAAAAAAAAAAAAGAUUCUGGAAACUUUUUCACUGUGAGAUCCCUAGUGCAGCAGUCCAGGGAUUUCCUCCUUUGUAUCCUGGCUCUCUCCCUUUACAGGGUGAGAGUCAUGGAUUCCUAAGGGCACAGAGGCACCGUGGUCAUUUGAAGACAGAAUUGAGUUCAUAUCCUUAAUCUGAACCUCCAAACUUUGUUUGUUUGGUUAUUUUUAUUUACUUAUUUUGUUUUGUUAUUUUUUAAGAGCCCAGGCUGGUCUUGAACUCUACAUAGCUAAAGAUGACCUGAGCUCUGGUCCUCUUUCCUUCUCCUCC